AAGGGAAUCCCAAGAAUAGGUGGGAGAGAUUUAAGGUGGCAGGUGAGGGACCUCACUGGGCAAGUAGGGGCGGUGAGCCAGUAAAUUUUACCUAUUACUCAGUUUUGGCUUAAUUGUACCCACACAUUGCAGAUAGUUUUCCUGAUCUGAUUUUUGGAGUCUCUCCAACAUUUAUGAAGUGAAUGUUGGUGAGGCAGUUCCUUCUAGGACAUGGCUAGUCAGAGAGGGAGCAGACUGAGUGGGAAGAGAGAAGAGGCUCAGAGCCCAGAUCAGAGUGACUUUGAGGUCUUGGCAAAGCUAAAAAUGUUUAUAUCAGCACAACUUUUAUGAGCACAGUAUCAGGCACUUGGUAAGGAUUCAGUUACCAUAUGUUGAAUGGAUGGCUGUAAUAUAUGACUACAUAGACCAAUGAUGCUUACACUUAUCUCUUUAUUCUCAUUCUAUUACAGAAUCUAAUCAUUAUAUUUAAAAUUAUGUGAAAGGGAGCUAGAGAAUAAUCCCGAGCCUAAACCAGCACCUGUGGGAAUGUGCUGUGCUCCUGUUUUUGUCAACAAUUAAUGUCCUCCC
rnacentral:lncRNA from 12 species